GACGAACGCUGGCGGCGUGCCUAAUACAUGCAAGUCGAACGAGGUCCAAGGGAGCUUGCUCCCUGACGACCUAGUGGCGAACGGGUGAGUAACACGUGAGAAACCUGCCCUGGAGUGGGGAAUAACUCGGGGAAACUCGAGCUAAUACCGCAUACCUUCACAUGAUCGCAUGGUCGAGUGAAGAAAGAUUCAUCGCUCUGGGAGGGUCUCGCGGCCUAUCAGCUUGUUGGUGGGGUAACGGCCUACCAAGGCAACGACGGGUAGCUGGUUUGAGAGAACGAUCAGCCCCACUGGGACUGAGACACGGCCCAGACUCCUACGGGAGGCAGCAGUAGGGAAUCUUGCGCAAUGGGCGAAAGCCUGACGCAGCAACGCCGCGUGCGGGAUGACGGCCUUCGUGGUUGUAAACCGCUUUCAGCAGGGACGAAAUUGACGGUACCUGCAGAAGAAGCCCCGGCUAACUACGUGCCAGCCGCCGCAGUAAGAC
rnacentral:rRNA from 1 species